GGCGGCCUAAGUGGUUAGUGCGUCCGCCUCAGAUGCGGGAAGUCAAGUCGUGGGUUCGAACCCCGGCUGAGUCA